rnacentral:pre_miRNA from 21 species
UGUAAACAUCCUACACUCAGCUGUAAUAAGUGGUGGGGCUGGAGGUUGGGUGUUUAUU